UACAGAGGUCUCAAGCGUUGUUCGGAUUUAUUGGGCGUAAAGAGCGUGUAGGCGGCCAGACAAGUCUGCUGUGAAAACUCGAGGCUCAACCUCGAGCUGUCGGUGGAAACUGUCUGGCUAGAGUCCGGAAGAGGAGAGUGGAAUUCCUGGUGUAGCGGUGAAAUGCGCAGAUAUCAGGAAGAACACCUAUGGCGAAGGCAGCUCUCUGGGACGGUACUGACGCUGAGACGCGAAAGCGUGGGUAGCAAACAGG
rnacentral:rRNA from 1 species